rnacentral:tRNA from 1 species
GUCCGAGUGCUGGAAUGGUAGACAGUGGUUACUUAAGAUAACCUGGGAAUAGCCCGUAAGUGUUCAAGUCACUUCUCGGAUA